UACAGAGGUCCCAAGCGUUGUUCGGAUUCACUGGGCGUAAAGGGUGCGUAGGUGGCGAGGUAAGUCGGAUGUGAAAUCUCCAAGCUUAACUUGGAAAUGGCAUUGGAAACUACCUGGCUUGAGGUUUGGAGGGGGGACUGGAAUACUUGGUGUAGCAGUGAAAUGCGUAGAUAUCAAGUGGAACACCAGUGGCGAAGGCGAGUCCCUGGACAACACCUGACACUGAGGCACGAAAGCUAGGGGAGCAAACAGG
rnacentral:rRNA from 1 species